GUGAGGAAUAUUGGUCAAUGGGCGGAAGCCUGAACCAGCCAUCCCGCGUGAAGGAAGGCGGCCCUAUGGGUUGUAAACUUCUUUAGUACAUGAAGAACAGGAUCUACGCGUAGGUUUAUGACGGUAAUGUACAAAAAAGCAUCGGCUAACUCCGUGCCAGCAGCCGCGGUAAUACGGAGGAUCCAAGCGUUAUCCGGAUUUAUUGGGUUUAAAGGGUGCGCAGGCGGGUUGAUAAGUCAGCGGUGAAAGUUUGCAGCUUAACUGUAAAAUUGCCGUUGAAACUGUCGAGCUUGAGUGCAAGUGAGGUAAGCGGAAUGUGUUGUGUAGCGGUGAAAUGCUUAGAUAUAACACAGAACACCGAUUGCGAAGGCAGCUUACUGGGAUGCAACUGACGCUCAUGCACGAAAGCGUGGGGAUCAAACAGGAUUAGAUACCCGAGUAGUCC
rnacentral:rRNA from 1 species